rnacentral:rRNA from 1 species
GAUGAACGCUGGCGGCGUGCCUAAUACAUGCAAGUCGAGCGAAUGGAUUAAGAGCUUGCUCUUAUGAAGUUAGCGGCGGACGGGUGAGUAACACGUGGGUAACCUGCCCAUAAGACUGGGAUAACUCCGGGAAACCGGGGCUAAUACCGGAUAACAUUUUGAACCGCAUGGUUCGAAAUUGAAAGGCGGCUUCGGCUGUCACUUAUGGAUGGACCCGCGUCGCAUUAGCUAGUUGGUGAGGUAACGGCUCACCAAGGCAACGAUGCGUAGCCGACGUGAGAGGGUGGUCGGCCACACUGGGACUGAGACACGGCCCAGACUCCUACGGGAGGCAGCAGUAGGGAAUCUUCCGCAAUGGACGAAAGUCUGACGGAGCAACGCCGCGUGAGUGACGAAGGCUUUCGGGUCGUAAAACUCUGUUGUUAGGGAAGAACAAGUGCUAGUUGAAUAAGCUGGCACCUUGACGGUACCUAACCAGAAAGCCACGGCUAACUACGUGCCAGCAGCCGCAGUAA